GGAGGUGUGGCUCAAAAGGUAGAGUACCAGCCUAGUAAGCAUGAGGUUCUGAGUGCAAACCCCAGGACCUUCU
rnacentral:tRNA from 1 species